CUCAGGGAGGGAGAGCAGUCAGCUUCUAGCUGUCAAGCAUGGUGUUGUGGGUCUCCUGCCUGUGGGCAGAUAGUAGCCUUGCCCAAGCUCCUGCCCCACCUCAGGGAGGCCCACAGGAGACUCUGUGAUGUAGGAUACCGAAGGCCUGGCCGCCCUGUCCUGUGUUGUGACAUUUCUGACACCAUCUGGCUGCAUAGCUUUGGAGCUAGCUUAGGGUUGCUGGUCCACCUCCUGGCUCACUCCCUGCCUCUGCAAGCCUCUCCUCCUGUACAGCGUGACUCAGGGUCUGCCUCCUGGGGACCUGAGAUAAGGCUGCUUACAGCAGCACCCAGGGGGGCACCCCAGCCUGCCCUCCUUCCAGAUGAGGACACAAGGCCCUGAGGUGCAGGAGGGGUCCAGGCCUGCAGCUAUACUCAAGGAGACAUGGAUGAAAAGCCGGCGAAUUUCCAAACGUCAGAGUAGCACAGUUGGGUUGAAAAGGGUCCAGCAAGAAGGCUCUACAGGUUAACGCUCCUACUGCCAAGCCUGAAAACCCACGCUCAGUAGCAAGGACUCGCACAGCGGAAGGGGCGCCAACUCCACAGGCCUAUGUGCAUUAUAUUAAAAAAAAAAA
rnacentral:lncRNA from 1 species